GGUCCUUCCUCAACAGGCCAAUGGCAAUGAUUGUGGAGUUUUCAUGCUCAUGUAUGCUCUCUACACCGUGCUGAACACUCCAUUCAGUUUCACUCAGACAUGGGAAAAGGUUCGCCCACUGGACUGAGGAGGCAAGAUAUCUGACCGAAGGGACACAAUGAUCUCUUUACAGAGGUUUUCCAGGACUUACUCAUGACUUGCCACAACAUGUUGUUGCCGUGAGGAACCGAAUAUCAUCCAACCAGAUGCUGGUGGACUUCAUUGUGGCAACAAGAGGAACAGAUAGCCACAUUCAGUCCAUCAUCAGUGGCCAACAGAAAUCAAAGUGGCUUGACACUUUUUCCAAGCGUUCCGCCAAGACAGUGCCUGUGCCGAGAUACAUUGAAGAUCAGGAGCAAAUUGAUGCAAUUCACUCUCACCUGACUUCAAUUCUGGACAGCACACCCACACACACCAACAGUGACUAGAUCAAAUUCAUUAUGGAUGUCCUUUUUCCAGAGAAAGAGGGAAAAUUUCUGCAAGGACCUGUCAUUGACAUACUGUAAGUGAGCGGGAGCAUUUUGACAGGCAGAUUGGACAACAGUUAAAGAAGAGUGGCGAGGCAUAGGGGAAUCAUCAACGGGAGUCAUCCUAGCAUCUGGCGGGUUGACUUUCAUGACUUUGCACCUCAGCAUCUAGCGCCUGGCAAGAGGACAAUGCUUCUGCUGUUCAUGUUGUUACUUUUGAAAUGUAUUCCACUACAGAUUACAGAAUACAUGCUGUAAAAUGUAAUUUGUAACGUAUUCCGUUAGAUUACUCAAGGUCAGUAACAUAUUCUAAAUACUUUGGAUUACUUCUUCAGAACUGGUAGAUUUUUUCACUUGUUUUGACUAUAAAAACUCUGCCAGUACAGUAAGACAAAAUACACGUUAAAAAUACAUUCUCUGAAAAACCUAAAUAUUUUACGCAGUGUUGUUUCUAAAACAAGAUUAAUCAAAUUUAUCUUGUUUUAGGGAUUUUUAGAUAUUUUUACAGGAAAACAAUACAAAAAUGAUCAAGAAUAUAAUUUUUGCCCUAAUAUCAAAGGUCUUACUAGAAAAAAAGAAAUUAUGAUCCAAUGUGAAUUUUCUUGAUAAAAAAUAUGAUCGUGUCUGGUAACAUGUGCAUGUAAAAUGGCUAGAAAUAGCAUUUUAGCUUAGCAUAAAGCUGACAAUUUACACAAGGUUUAUUUCUAUUUCUUCUGCUCCAAACUUACUUCAAACGCACUUCUCUGUCUGCUCGUAUGAAUGUAACACAUCAUAAGAAAGUGUUUCACCGCUGUUCAAAUGCACUUUGGAUCACAUCAUUUAUAUGUAUAAAUGUUUUCCAUCUGAAAGGACUAAAUAUUAAAUGAAACAAAUGACAAUAAAAUGCAAAGU